rnacentral:rRNA from 1 species
GGAUCCAGACUUUGAUUCUGGCUCAGGAUGAACGCUGAGCGGCGCAUUUAAGACAUGCAAGUCGAACGAAAAUUUACGCUUAAAGAGUUGAUUAGUUUACUAAGAGAUGAUUUAUUGUAAAUUUUAGUGGCGGACUGGUGAGUAAUACAUAGGUAAUCUGCCUCUUAGAGGGGAAUAACUAGGAGAAAUCCUAGCUAAUACCGCGUAAGACCACACUUAGGCAUCUAAGAGAGGUCAAAGGAGUAAUCCGCUAAAAGAUGAGCCUGUGGCUGAUUAGUUAGUUGGUGGGGUAAGAGCCUACCAAGACGAUGAUCAGUAGCCGAGCUGAGAGGCUGGCCGGCCACAUUGGGACUGAGAUACGGCCCAGACUCCUACGGGAGGCAGCAGUUGGGAAUAUUGGACAAUGGAGGAAACUCUGAUCCAGUGACGCCGCGUGAAGGAAGAAGGUCUUCGGAUUGUAAACUUAUUUUAUCAGGGAAGAAGAAAGUGACAGUACCUGAAGAAAAAGGACCGGCAAACUACGUGCCAGCAGCCGCGGUAAUACGUAGGGUCCAAGCGUUAUCCGGAUUUACUGGGUGUAAAGGGCGAGUAGACGGCGCUGUAAGUCAGCUGUGAAAACUUAGGGCUCAACCUUAAGCCUGCAGCUGAAACUGUAGUGCUAGAGUGCAGGAGAGGUAAGCGGAAUUCCUAGUGUAGCGGUGAAAUGCGUAGAUAUUAGGAGGAACACCAGUGGCGAAGGCGGCUUACUGGACUGUAACUGACGUUGAGGCGCGAAAGUGUGGGGAGCAAA